rnacentral:rRNA from 1 species
AUAAGCGGAGGAAAAGAAACCAACAGGGAUUGCCCCAGUAACGGCGAGUGAAGCGGCAAUAGCUCAAAUUUGAAAUCUGGCUCCUUUGGGGCCCGAGUUGUAAUUUGGAGAGGGUGCUUUGGUGUCGGCAGCAGCCUAAGUUCCUUGGAACAGGUCAUCAUAGAGGGUGAGAAUCCCGUAUGUGGCUGAUUGUCUUCACCGUGUAAAGCCCCUUCGACGAGUCGAGUUGUUUGGGAAUGCAGCUCUAAAUGGGAGGUAAAUUUCUUCUAAAGCUAAAUAUUGGCCAGAGACCGAUAGCGCACAAGUAGAGUGAUCGAAAGAUGAAAAGCACUUUGGAAAGAGAGUCAAAAAGCACGUGAAAUUGUUGAAAGGGAAGCGCUUGCAGCCAGACGUGCCUGUAGUUGCUCAUCUGGGGAUUUCCCCAGUGCACUCUUCUAUGGGCAGGCCAGCAUCAGUCCGGGCGGUUGGAGAAAGGCCUGUGUCACGUAGCUGCUUUCGGGCAGUGUUAUAGGGCAGGUGGAAUACGACCAGCCUGGACUGAGGUCCGCGCAUCUGCUAGGAUGCUGGCGUAAUGGCUGUAAGCGGCCCGUCUUGAAACACGGACCAAGGAGUCUAACAUCUAUGCGAGUGUUUGGGUGUCAAGCCCGAGCGCGCAAUGAAAGUGAACGGAGGUGGGAACCCUCGGGUGCACCAUCGACCGAUCCUGAUGUCUUCGGAUGGAUUUGAGUAAGAGCAUAGCUGUUGGGACCCGAAAGAUGGUGAACUAUGCCUGAAUAGGGUGAAGCCAGAGGAAACUCUGGUGGAGGCUCGCAGCGGUUCUGACGUGCAAAUCGAUCGUCAAAUUUGGGCAUAGGGGCGAAAGACUAAUCGAACUAUCUAGUAGCUGGUUCCUGCCGAAGUUUCCCUCAGGAUAGCAGUAACGUUUUCAGUUUUAUGAGGUAAAGCGAAUGAUUAGAGGCCUGGGGGCUGAAACAGCCUUCACCUAUUCUCAAACUUUAAAUAUGUAAGAAGUCC